rnacentral:lncRNA from 1 species
GAGAAGUGAAGUGCCUGGGGUCGAAGGAGCUGCUUGCCAGUGUGCAGCACCAAAACUCUAGCCAUUCUCAGAUGUUAAGGAUUUUUUUUUUUUUUUUCCUGAGACAGAGUCUCGCUCUGUCGCCAGGUUGGAGUGCAGUGGCGUGAUCUCGGCUCACUGCAACCUCCACCUCCCAGGUUCAAGCAAUUCUUCUGCCUCAGCCUCCUGAGUAGCUGGGACUACAGGCACAUGCCACCACGCCCGGCUAAUUUUUAUGUUUUUAGUAGAGAUGGUGUUUCACCAUGUUGGCCAGGAUGGUCUCAAUCUCUUGACCUUGUGAUCCACCUGCCUCAGCCUCCCAAAGUGCUGGGAUUACAGGCAUGAGCCACUGCAUCCGGCCUGUUAAGGAUUUUUAAUGGAUGUCUAGAAAUGAAAGCUCAGGAUCUCUGAAUUGGGCUAUUCAUACCCUCCCAUGUACAUUAAAAAAUACUAUUGGAAAAGUGGCAAGAUGGCUGAAUAGGAACAGCUCCAGUCUGCAGCUCCCAGCGAGAUCAAUGAAGAAGGCAGGUGAUUUCUGCAUUUCCAACUGAGGUACCCGGUUCAUCUGAUUGGGACUGGUUAGACAGUGGGUGCAGCCCACGGAAGGCAAGCAGAAGCAGGGUGGGGUGUCACCUCACCUGGGAAGUCCAAGAGGUCAGGGAACUCCUUACCCUAGCCAGGGGAAGCUGUGAUGGAUUGUGCUAUCCAGCCCAGAUACUAUGCUUUUCCCAUGGUCUUUGCAACCUGCAGACCAGGAGAUUCCCUUGGGUGCCUACACCACCAGGGCCCUGGGUUUCAGGCACAAAAUUGGGCCGCCAUUUGGGCAGACACUGAGCUAGCUGCAGGAGUUUUUUUCAUACCCCAGUGGUGCCUGGAAUGCCAGCGAGAUAGAACCAUUCACUCUCCUGGAAAAGGGGCUGAAGCCAGCGAGCCAGUGGUCUUGUUCAGCGGAUCCUACCCCCAUGGAGCCCAGCAAGCUAUGAUCCACUGGCUUGAAAUUCUCUCUGCAAGCACAGCAGUCUGAAGUUGACCUGGGAUGCUCAAGCUUGGUACGGGGAGGGGUGUCGGCCAUUACGGAGGCUUGAAUAAGCGGUUUUCCCCUCAGUGUUAAAGCCACCAGGAAGUUCACACGGGGCAGAGCCCACCACAGCACAGCAAAGCCGCUAUAGCCAGACUACCUCUCUAGAUUUCUCCUCUUUGGGAAAGGCAUCUCUAAAAGAAAGGCAGCAGCCCCAGUCAGGGGCCUAUAGAUAAAACUCCCAUCUCCCUGGGACAGAGCACCUGGGGAAAGGGGCGGCCGUGGGCGCAGCUUCAGCAGACUUAAACGUUCUUGCCAGCUGGCUCUGAAAAGAGCAGUGGAUCUCCCAACAUAGCACUUGAGCUCUGCUGAGGGACAGACUGCCUGCUCAAGUGGGUCCCUGACCCCUGUGCCUCCUGACUGGGAGACACCUCCCAGCAGGGGUCAACAGACACCUCAUACAGGACAACUCCGGCUGGCAUCUGGUGGGUGCCCCUCUGGGACGAAGCUUCCAGAGGAAGAAGCAGGCAGCAACCUUUGCUUUCUGCAGCCUCCGCUGGUGAUACCGAGGAAAACAGGGUCUGUAGUGGACCUCCAGCAAACUCCAGCACACCUGCAGAAGAAGGGCAUGACUGUUAGAAGGAAAACUAGCAAACAGAAAGCAAUAACAUCAACAUCAACAAAAAGGAGGACCACGCAAAAACCCCAUCCAAAGGUCAACAACAUCAAAACCC